GAUGAACGCUGGCGGCGUGCCUAAUACAUGCAAGUCGAGCGAACGGACGAGAAGCUUGCUUCUCUGAUGUUAGCGGCGGACGGGUGAGUAACACGUGGAUAACCUACCUAUAAGACUGGGAUAACUUCGGGAAACCGGAGCUAAUACCGGAUAAUAUUUUGAACCGCAUGGUUCAAAAGUGAAAGACGGUCUUGCUGUCACUUAUAGAUGGAUCCGCGCUGCAUUAGCUAGUUGGUAAGGUAACGGCUUACCAAGGCAACGAUGCAUAGCCGACCUGAGAGGGUGAUCGGCCACACUGGAACUGAGACGCGGUUCAGACUCCUACGGGAGGCAGCAGUAGGGAAUCUUCCGCAAUGGGCGAAAGCCUGACGGAGCAACGCCGCGUGAGUGAUGAAGGUCUUCGGAUCGUAAAACUCUGUUAUUAGGGAAGAACAUAUGUGUAAGUAACUGUGCACAUCUUGACGGUACCUAAUCAGAAAGCCACGGCUAACUACGUG
rnacentral:rRNA from 1 species